ensembl:rRNA 5S_rRNA 5S ribosomal RNA
UCCGGCAGCCAUAUCACCCUGUAGCCCGAGACUGGUUACCCACUGAAGCUAAGCAGGGUUGAGCCUGGUCAGUACCUGGAUGGGAGACCUCCUGGGAAAACUAGGUUGCUGCUGGCA